CCUGAUGCAGCCAUGCCGCGUGUGUGAAGAAGGCCUUCGGGUUGUAAAGCACUUUCAGCGGGGAGGAAGGCGUUAAGGUUAAUAACCUUGGCGAUUGACGUUACCCGCAGAAGAAGCACCGGCUAACUCCGUGCCAGCAGCCGCGGUAAUACGGAGGGUGCAAGCGUUAAUCGGAAUUACUGGGCGUAAAGCGCACGCAGGCGGUCUGUCAAGUCGGAUGUGAAAUCCCCGGGCUCAACCUGGGAACUGCAUUCGAAACUGGCAGGCUAGAGUCUUGUAGAGGGGGGUAGAAUUCCAGGUGUAGCGGUGAAAUGCGUAGAGAUCUGGAGGAAUACCGGUGGCGAAGGCGGCCC
rnacentral:rRNA from 1 species